UACGUAGGGGGGCAAGCGUUGUCCGGAAUCAUUGGGCGUAAAGCGCGUGUAGGCGGUCCGGUAAGUCCGCUGUGAAAGUCGGGGGCUUAACCCUCGGAUGCCGGUGGAUACUGUCGGGCUUGAGUACGGAAGAGGCGAGUGGAAUUCCUGGUGUAGCGGUGAAAUGCGCAGAUAUCAGGAGGAACACCAAUUGCGAAGGCAGCUCGCUGGGACGUUACUGACGCUGAGACGCGAAAGCGUGGGGAGCGAACAGG
rnacentral:rRNA from 1 species